UACGAAGGGGGCUAGCGUUGCUCGGAAUCACUGGGCGUAAAGCGCACGUAGGCGGCUUCGUUAAGUCAGGGGUUGAAAUCCUGGAGCUCAACUCCAGAACUGCCUUUUGAUACUGAGGAGCUUGAGUCCGGGAGAGGUGAGUGGAACUGCGAGUGUAGAGGUGAAAUUCGUAGAUAUUCGCAAGAACACCAGUGGCGAAGGCGGCUCACUGGCCCGGUACUGACGCUGAGGUGCGAAAGCGUGGGGAGCAAACAGGG
rnacentral:rRNA from 1 species